rnacentral:rRNA from 1 species
CUGGCUCAGAACGAACGCUGGCGGCGCGUCUUAAGCAUGCAAGUCGAACGGCAAGAGGUAGCAAUACCUCCUAGAGUGGCGGACUGGUGAGUAACACGUGGGUGACAUACCCUUCAGAUGGGGAUAGCUAUUAGAAAUAGUAGAUAAUACCGAAUACGAGCACAGGGGUUAGAGAUCUGUGAGGAAAGGAGCUAAGGCUCCGCUGAAGGAAUGGCCUGCGGCCCAUUAGCUAGUUGGUGAGGUAAGAGCCCACCAAGGCGAUGAUGGGUAUCCGGCCUUAGAGGGUGAACGGACACAUUGGGACUGAGAUACGGCCCAGACUCCUACGGGAGGCAGCAGCUAAGAAUAUUCCGCAAUGGACGAAAGUCUGACGGAGCGACGCCGCGUGGAUGAAGAAGGCCGGAAGGUUGUAAAAUCCUUUUGAAACUGAAGAAUAAGCGUUGUAGGGAAUGACAGCGUGGUGACAGUAGGUUUUGAAUAAGCAACGGCUAAUUACGUGCCAGCCGCCGC